CGGUACUCGAGAGAGUUUAGAUCCUGGCUACAGGAUGAACGCUGGCGGGCGUGCCUAACACAUGCAAGUCGAACGAAGCACGUCCCUCGAGGCUUCGGGCGGAGGGGGCGAUGACUAGUGGCGGACGGGUGAGUAACGCGUGGGUAACCUGCCCUAUACUGGGGGAUAACAGCUAGAAAUGGCUGCUAAUACCGCAUGAGCGCACAGUCCCGCAUGGGACAGUGCGGAAAACUCCGGUGGUAUAGGAUGGACCCCGCGUCCGAUCAGCUGGUUGGUGGGGUAACGGCCCACCAAGGCGACGAUCGGUAGCCGACCUGAGAGGGUGACCGGCCACAUUGGGACUGAGACACGGCCCAAACUCCUACGGGAGGCAGCAGUGGGGGAUAUUGCACAAUGGGGGGAACCCUGAUGCAGCGACGCCGCGUGAGUGAAGGAGUACUCCGGUAUAUAAAGCUCUAUCAGCAGGGAAGAAGCAAGACGGUACCUGACCAAGAAGCCCCGGCUAACUACGUG
rnacentral:rRNA from 1 species